UCCGGUUCAUCACCGGCAGUCUCCUUAGAGUCCCCAACUAAAUGAUGGCAACUAAGGACAAGGGUUGCGCUCGUUACGGGACUUAACCCAACAUCUCACAACACGAGCUGACGACAGCCAUGCAGCACCUGUCUCUGCGUUCCUUUCGGCACUCCAGCCUCUAAGCCGGAUUCGCAGGAUGUCAAGGGUAGGUAAGGUUCUUCGCGUUGCAUCGAAUUAAACCACAUGCUCCACCGCUUGUGCGGGCCCCCGUCAAUUCCUUUGAGUUUCAACCUUGCGGCCGUACUUCCCAGGCGGAAGACUUAUCGCGUUAGCUUCGAUACUGAUAGGUUCCCCUACCAACAUCUAGUCCUCAUCGUUUACAGCGUGGACUAC
rnacentral:misc_RNA from 1 species